ACAGCCAACGUGAGCAGUGGAUAAACAGGUCCAUCGACGGUUUCCUAGGAGAAGGUGGCCACCCGGGAAAACAAUCGCAAGGCAAUCAGCGCAGGAGGUUAGCGUCAGUGUGCACACCUGCUGGAUGGGCCUCAGGUUGAUCCUCUUCAGCAAGAUAUAACCCUUUAAGCAGCAGUGUCAAUGUGUCAGCUUGGAUACAUUGAUUCUCCACCAGAUUCUGUCACACAGAAAACUAUUGUCAACAGUACUCAUGUGCCUUGGGUCUGAGACUAAAAGAUCCACCAGAAGAAAUGGAUGUCAGCUCUGCCACGGAUCCAUAUGACCAAAUCCAGACUAACAGAAGGUGUCCAUCCAAAUGCUCAACUCAAGACCAUCUUACAUUACUCAUCCCAUCUCCCACACCCUGCCAUGAUGGUUAGACUAGCUAAAGAGAAGUCCCCUGGGCUAAAAUAAGAUGUUCACUGUGGAGCCCUUGUAUGCACCUGAUCUACAUCCCACUUUAACUUAGCAGGCCUCUCCAAUUCUUUCUCUUAUGAAGAUGAACUGUACAAUGGAUAAGCACCAAGGGAGCAUGAAGAGAAACAAAGUGCCAGGCACUGCGGAAGCCAUGGGUUAACGUACAGACAUGGCCAUGUCCAAGAACCUCAGCACACACACCCAAUCCUGCAAAUGGCACAUCAAUGGCAUCAAGAAACUGGGUCACAAAUUACAACCUCCAGUUUGGAAAUGCCAAGCCAGCUGCUCCUAGCUUUCUUCCAGUUGCUGGUAAGAGCUCAUAACAAACUUUACACUAAAUUCCAUAACCCUAUGUAAAUCCACUGAAAGCCAUCUUUCUGCAGAAGCUCAUGGGUGGCUUUCAGUCAGAUACAAGCCAAGAGAGUCUUUUCUGUAUGUUUGAAACAUACACCUUGUAUAUAUUUAUGUGUUUUCUAUAUUAUUCAAAUUGAUUAUUAAAGAAAGCAUGUAGCAUAUAUUAGGAGGCAUUAAACUGCAUUGAAUUAUUAAAAUUAAAAUAAUUUGCAAAUCAUAUGCUAGGUAUUGUGAGGUAUUACAAUUAUGCAACACAGGCCAAGUGCAUCUUACUGUGUGUUUAUUUUUAAAUAAACUUUUACUGGAAAACAGUU
ensembl:processed_transcript 4933416E03Rik RIKEN cDNA 4933416E03 gene